rnacentral:pre_miRNA from 1 species
UGACGUCAUCAGUGACGUCACUGAUGACGUCAUUGGCGAUGAUGACGAUGACGAUGCGGAUGCCGGUGACGUCAUCAGUGACGUCAUUGAUGACGCCAU